GGUCCUUACCUUGCUGUAGCAGCGCUGCUGGCAUUCAGUGCAUGUGGGACGCAAAUGUUUAAGGAUUGCCCUACCCCACAUGGUGCGGCAGUCCCGGGGACUAUAUUUUGGUAACUGUUAUGUGCAGGAUUACAUCAAAAUCAAUUCAGGACAGCACCGACCGGUGACUACUCCAGAUCAACAGGUCUUUAUCUUAGAAGUGGUGAAAGCGUAGGAUGAUGGGUCGUGGCCUCUCCGUGCCGAGGACAUCAGCAAGAAAUUGGGAGAAGAACAUGGAUGGACGAGGGCCUUCAAUCAAUUCAGUCUGCCCAGCCUAACAGAGAGGGUGAUUCGUGCCACUGCCCCCCCCCCCCAGCACGGCCAUAGUUCCUGCUCCGGAGCUGCGUGAGGAUGACAAGCAGUGAACAUCAGUGUCGGAAGGCAACGGUCCGGACCAAGAACAUCAGCAGCACUCCAUCCUUUUCUUUUGGGGUUUUGUAUUUUUAUUUUGGGGCGCAAGUGAGACCCAGCAUUGAGGCGCUGGGCCUUUUUUUCCUUGUAUGCGUGUGUGCGUGUGUGUGAGGACCUACUCCUCCUUGGCAUGUGGUACCCCCCCCCCCUUGGGUAGCCAGGAGAUGAAGCAGAGUGGUCACAGUGUGGUGUGCGAGAGUGCACGGGGAUAUCUGUAUGAUGUGCCUAACUUGCAGUGCUGUGUGGGAGAGGGCAAUCUCUCUCCUGGCGCCGGGCCCUUGUGGGGAGAGAGCGGGACAAGGAAAGGUGGUGAAGGGGGGAGAAAGGUUAGGAACGGAGAUCAGCAGAG